ensembl:lncRNA
GAAUAACACUACUGACGCUAGGGAAGUCGGUGAAAUGGAAAAAGGUGUCGAAAUUUAGAUUUUGUUCUAAUAACCAUGACGAUUAAAGACAUGAUAUUGUAAAUAUUCUACACAAUGCAGGUGGGAGAGUUUUAUCGCAUUAUAUUAUUUUAUCUGUAUUUGUUUUUAUUUUUAUUUUGCUAUUUUCAAGUCUGUUUCCCUGUUUUGUUUUUUUUUCCAUCAUUUUUUUUUAUUAUUUCUUUUAAAUAGUAAUAAAUACAGUAUUUAGAAAUUGCUCUUGUUGACUUUUUCGUAGUACGUUAACUUCUUUCUUUCUUUCCUUCCCCCUUUUGUAAAAUUUUUUUUCCUCCACAUUUCCAGCUUUGCGUCCCCCCCAGUGGCCCCACCUUCGGCAGUCUGGCGACUCAGAACAGCACGCCGACUUUCGGUAAUCUGGCUCAGCAGGGCCCGGGAUUCGGAGGUCAGACCGGCGGGUUCUCAGGCUUCGGUUCUUCCGGAGGUUUCGGGGGCUUCGGGAAUACGAAUACCAAUCAGUCGUCUUCUCAGACGUUUGCCGGUUGGAGAAGCUAGUUGCCGGAAACUCUGCUGUUCUCACACUCUCCAAUCAGAUUAGCGUUUUUGGAAACUGGGAUCUCUGCGCACGUUAAAGCUAAAUAAAAAUACUCUGAGGUCAAACUGACUUCCGUAGUUUCACGGUCUGAAAUCUCGGUCGCGUUUUAAAACCCGGCGCUGACCAAUCCUUUAACAAAGCCCAGCUACGUUUUUUUCAUCUGCACACCUUCAAACACCAACAGUCUCCAGUAAAACUAUAUCAAACGCCAACGUUUACAGUUAAAAUGGCCGACAGACACCUGCGUCGUCCUUCAAAAUACCACCACAAACCAUAAUUCUUUCUGAAAGCUACAACAUUCUUCGUUAAAAUCGCUUCAAGCCCCAACGUUCUCCACUGAAGGCCAUCGAUACACCAACGAUUCCAAUGAAAAUACAAUACAAUUUACGAAAAAGACCUACUCGCACUGACGUUUUUCAUUAAAGCACCUUCAAAUACCGACAUUCUCCAUUAAAACAUAACGACACGCCAACGUUCUCCCUGAAGAUGUCACCAGAGAUCAACAUUCUUUAUAGAAAGACUCAGUAACACCAGCGCUUUCAUUAAAACACCAACAAUCGCCAUGGAAAUACCACCAAAAACCCACAUUCUUAUAAAAGGCAUAUUAACACCGACUUUCUCCAUUAAACCAACAUCAGACACCAACAACGGCCGUGAAAAUACUACGAAACGGCAACAUUCGGUAUGAAAGUUCAGGAAACACCAACGCCCCCAAUGAAAAUAUCACCAAAAUCAUUACAAACGGCGUACUAGCAGCAGCGUUUUCAUUUAAAAAGCCUUUAAGCACCAGCAUUCUCCAGGAAAAUGACACGAUAAAACUAAGAUUCUUUAAAAAACGGCCAACACCGACAUUUUCCUCUAAAACACCCACUAAAAUACCCUCGAUCACCAAAAACAAGCAUGAAAACCUCAUGAAAAACCAAUGUUCUUCAUUAGAACACUAUAAUACCCCGACAUGUACCGUCAAGCAGCAACAUUCUCCAUCAAAACACCUUCUACAUGGUCUAUACCUUCUCCACCUCUAUACACCUCCUC